CGUAGUUUUUGGAUAUGGGUGAUGAAAGAGUAUGGCGUGGUGGAAUGGUGGACUAAAUUAUUUACUAUACGCCUUCCUGCAGUCAUACUAAUCCUCCCAUUUUGUUUUAGAAAGAGUGGUGAAGUGAUACUUAAAACGUAUUCGGAUUAUUGUUUGGGGUUGAAGCUGGUAUCAUUGAACCCUAACAUCGACCAAGUUGAAGAUUUAGAUAUUGACGAUAAUUGCUCCUUCAUGGAUCAUUUUGUAGAGACCAUUGCCUUGUUUGGCCACCCCGAUGCCAUUUCUUAUUAGCAAACAGUUAUGAAUUUCAGGAAUCCGAUCAAAUAAGAAUAUUGUCGGAUUAAUGACAAAACAAAACCAUAUGUAAUUCACCCUCCAAGGGGCGAGAAGACUCACAAAAAUAUUUCAGCCUCUCAUUGACCAUCAUUGUGUGAUUCACAAGCGACAUGAAUUGAACUCAAGACGUGCAAUGUGGGGUAUGGCCUGAAAUUCGUCCUAAUCACAAGGCCACCCCGCGGUGGUUAAAUUUCAGUCAUGUUGUUUUACCCUUUGUUUUAUAUUGUUUCCCGGAGAGUCAUUUGUUUGAGAUCACAAACUUUUUUCAAUACUGAGAUUGGUACAUACCUUCGACUAUUCAAGUCAUCAAUGAAGUGGGGAAGGAAAGCCAAACCUUUCUGGAUUGGCUUCGGUUAUGAUU